CUACGGGUUGCUGCAGUGGGGAAUAUUGGACAAUGGGGGAAACCCUGAUCCAGCAAUGCCGCGUGUGUGAAGAAGGCCUGCGGGUUGUAAAGCACUUUCGGUUGGGAGGACUGCUUCUAGCACUAAUAUUGUUGGAAGUUGACGUUACCUUCAGAAGAAGCACCGGCUAACUCCGUGCCAGCAGCCGCGGUAAUACGGAGGGGGCAAGCGUUAAUCGGAAUUACUGGGCGUAAAGCGCGGUAGGCGGCUAGAUCAGUCGGGUGUGAAAGCCCCGGGCUUAACCUGGGAACUGCAUCCGAUACUGUCUAGCUUGAGUACAGGAGAGGAGAGUGGAAUUCCACAUGUAGCGGUGAAAUGCGUAGAUAUGUGGAGGAACACCAAUGGCGAAGGCAGCUCUCUGGCCUGAUACUGACGCUGAGGUGCGAAAGCGUGGGGAGCAAACAGGAUUAGAUACCCGGGUAGUC
rnacentral:rRNA from 1 species